CAAAGUGUAGUUUAACCAAAACACCCCGCUUACACCGAGAAAAUGUCUGUGCAAAUCGAACCACCUUGA
rnacentral:tRNA from 1 species